GGGCUCGUGAUGAUAUUUUAAUUAUCUUAGCGGAUUUCAGUGAGAUAUCCAUCAAUGAUCUGACUGUUACACACACUGAAGCCU